CUCACCUGGGGCACAAUCUCAUUGUAAAUUAUUGCUGGCCACUGUGUUAAUAUUCUGUUCUAAACAGUGUGCUACUGUAAAGCUCAAGGCAUACCAACUUCAUCAUAAUUAUUCUUCUGUUAAACUAUACUAGAAAAGAAAAUAGUUUUUUUUUUAUUUUCUUUGUCUCUGUGCAGCACUAUCUCAAGCCCUUCUCUUCCCCCAUUACUCGCUGGGCUCUGCCAACCACUGAGCAUCCUGCAGCCCUCUGGUCCUCACAGCUGGCGCCUGCCAGCUCCAAAAGAUGGCUCAUCCGGUGACAGGACCCAAGCUCCUGUUGUCCACAGUCACAAGGAAGAAGCAGAGUCCUUGACGGGAGCCUGGGCAUGGCUUUCAUCAGGUUGGCUGUGGUGUUAUUUCUGCUUCACUUCUAGGUCUCCUCUCCGAGGCUUUUACCUUGACCCUGAGAGCAGGUUCCUCAAACCCCUGAUGACAUGACCACAGAGGUCUCACAGCUGUGCCAGAGAGAGAAAAGCAACUAAUGAACAUCUGUUCUCAGUUGAUUAGAGAAAUAUCCAUUACCACCAGCCACUGAAGGAGACAAGCCAUGCACCAUUCAUCUCUGUAUCCCCAGAAACUAAAAGAGGACUGAUGUGGUUGGCAUUCAAUAAAUGCCAGGUGAAGGAAUGAAUAAGUGAAAAUUCUAAAAAUAAAGAUUUCCC
rnacentral:lncRNA from 10 species